rnacentral:rRNA from 1 species
CCUACGGGUGGCAGCAGUGGGGAAUAUUGGGCAAUGGGCGCAAGCCUGACCCAGCAACGCCGCGUGAAGGAAGAAGGCUUUCGGGUUGUAAACUUCUUUUAAGAGGGAAGAGCAGAAGACGGUACCUCUUGAAUAAGCCACGGCUAACUACGGGCCAGCAGCCGCGGUAAUACGUAGGGGGCAAGCGUUGUCCGGAUUUACUGGGUGUAAAGGGCGUGUAGCCGGGCUGACAAGUCAGAUGUGAAAUCCCGUGGCUCAACCACGGAACUGCAGUUGAAACUGUCGGUCUUGAGUAUCGGAGAGGCAGGGGGAAGUCCGAGGGUAGCGGUGAAAUGCGUAGAUAUUAGGAGGAACACCAGUGGCGAAGGCGGCCUGCUGGACGACAACUGACGGUGAGGCGCGAAAGCGUGGGGAGCAAACAGGAUUAGAUACCCCGGGUAGUC